rnacentral:rRNA from 1 species
AACGAACGCUGGCGGCGCGCCUAAUACAUGCAAGUCGAGCGAGAAGACGUAGCAAUACGUUUGUAAAGCGGCGAACGGGUGAGGAAUACAUGGGUAACCUACCCUCGAGUGGGGAAUAACUAGCCGAAAGGUUAGCUAAUACCGCGUACGCUCCUUGGACUUCGGUUCAGGGAGGAAAGCGAUACCGUGGGUAUCGCGCUCUUGGAUGGGCUCAUGUCCCAUCAGCUUGUUGGUGAGGUAACGGCUCACCAAGGCUUCGACGGGUAGCUGGUCUGAGAGGACAAUCAGCCACACUGGCACUGCGACACGGGCCAGACUCCUACGGGAGGCAGCAGUAAGGAAUAUUGCGCAAUGGGCGAAAGCCUGACGCAGCGACGCCGCGUGAGGGAUGACGGCCUGG